GAAAGAUCUAUAUGAAGAAGAAAGAAGAAUUCAUAGCAGUUAUCAAGACAAAUUAACUUCAGUUCCAGAGUAUUGAGAAAAAAAGGGAUGCAUGCAUCUGUUGCCUCAUUGAGUAUCUUGGGGAAAAUCAAGAAGAGCUGUUCCAAGACUGUCAGGAGGAUGAACUUGAAGGCCACACAAAUGAAAUAAUGAAGUUGGUGGUUAUUCACAAUCCCGCAGUUGAGGAGGACCCAGCAGAUGUGUGUGUUGUAAUCGAGGGCAUCAAAGUGCUG